UACGUAGGGUGCAAGCGUUAAUCGGAAUACUGGGCGUAAGGCGUGCGCAGGCGGUGAUGUAAGACAGAUGUGAAAUCCCCGGGCUCAACCUGGGAACUGCAUUUGUGACUGCAUCGCUGGAGUGCGGCAGAGGGGGAUGGAAUUCCGCGUGUAGCAGUGAAAUGCGUAGAUAUGCGGAGGAACACCGAUGGCGAAGGCAGUCCCCUGGGCCUGUACUGACGCUCAUGCACGAAAGCGUGGGGAGCAAACAGG
rnacentral:rRNA from 1 species